AGAACGAACGCUGGCGGCAGGCCUAAUACAUGCAAGUCGAGCGGGCGUAGCAAUACGUCAGCGGCGGACGGGUGAGUAACACGUGGGAACAUGCCCUUCGGUACGGAACAACUCAGGGAAACUUGAGCUAAUACCGUAUGAUCCGGCAACGGCAAAGAUUUAUCGCCGGAGGAUUGGCCCGCGUCCGAUUAGCUAGUUGGUGAGGUAACGGCCCACCAAGGCACCGAUCGGUAGCUGGUUUGAGAGAACGACCAGCCACACUGGGACUGAGACACGGCCCAGACUCCUACGGGAGGCAGCAGUAGGGAAUCUUGGACAAUGGGGGAAACCCUGAUCCAGCCAUGCCGCGUGAGUGAUGAAGGCCUUCGGGUUGUAAAACUCUUUCGACGGGGACGAGUAAUGACGGUACCGUAGAAGAAGCUCGGCUAACUUCGCGCCAGCAGCCGC
rnacentral:rRNA from 1 species